AUGUUUCUACCACUGGAAAAGUUUCGUUCACUUCAUCAAUCUCUUUCUGAUCUUGAAGCUGCACAAGCACACGCCCACACCCAAUCACAACCCUCCAAGCCUAUAUCCCAAUCCAUGAAGGGGCAAAGCUUGACGGUGUUGAUGCGGGGGGAUGAAGUGCCCAAGUUUAUAGCUAUGCCCUGUCCGUGUCAGCCGUCGCGGCUGGAAGAGAUUGUUGUCAGCGUGGAGAACUCGCCGUCUAAACCACCGUGA